UACGUAGGGGGGCAAGCGUUGUCCGGAAUCAUUGGGCGUAAAGAGCGUGUAGGCGGCCCGAUAAGUCCGCUGUGAAAGUCCAGGGCUCAACCCUGGAAUGCCGGUGGAUACUGUCGGGCUCGAAUCCGGAAGAGGUGAGUGGAAUUCCUGGUGUAGCGGUGAAAUGCGCAGAUAUCAGGAGGAACACCGGUGGCGAAGGCGGGCAUCCUGGGCCGGAUGACUCUGAGGCGCGAAAGCCAGGGGAGCAAACGGG
rnacentral:rRNA from 1 species